rnacentral:tRNA from 1 species
AGAUGUUUAGGAUAAUAAUCUUUUAAUUUUCAAGGUUAAGGAAGCUGAAUAUUUA